AGAGUUUGAUCCUGGCUCAGGAUGAACGCUGGCGGCGUGCUUAACACAUGCAAGUCGAGCGAUGAAGUUUCCUUCGGGAAACGGAUUAGCGGCGGACGGGUGAGUAACACGUGGGUAACCUGCCUCAUAGAGUGGAAUAGCCUCCCGAAAGGGAGAUUAAUACCGCAUAACAUUGAGAGAUGGCAUCAUCUCUUAAUCAA
rnacentral:rRNA from 1 species